ACAGGGAUUGCCCUAGUAACGGCGAGUGAAGCGGCAACAGCUCAAAUUUGAAAUCUGGUUCUUUCAGAGCCCGAGUUGUAAUUUGCAGAGGGAGCUUUGGCAUUGGAAGCAGUCUAAGUUCUUUGGAACAGGACGUUACAGAGGGUGAGAAUCCCGUAUGUGGCUGCUAUACUUUGCUAUGUAAAGCCUCUUUGACGAGUCGAGUUGUUUGGGAAUGCAGCUCUAAAUGGGAGGUAAAUUUCUUCUAAAGCUAAAUACUGGCCAGAGACCGAUAGCGCACAAGUAGAGUGAUCGAAAGAUGAAAAGCACUUUGGAAAGAGAGUCAAAUAGCACGUGAAAUUGUUGAAAGGGAAGCGCUUAUAGCCAGAAUUGCCUGCAGUUGCUUAACUAGACCAUUGUUUGGUGCACUCUUCUGCAGGCAGGCCAGCAUCAGUUUGGGUGGUUGGAUAAAGGUCUCUGUCAUGUACCUCACUUUUAGGGAGGCCUUAUAGGGGAGACGACAUGCAACCAACCCAGAUUGAGGCCCGCGCAUUUUGCUAGGAUGCUGGCAUAAUGGCUGUAAGCGGCCCGUCUUGAAACACGGACCAAGGAGUCUAACAUCUAUGCGAGUGUUUGGGUGUCAAGCCCAGACGCGCAAUGAAAGUGAACGGAGGUGGGAACCCUUUGGGUGCACCAUCGACCGAUCCUGACGUUUUCAGAAGGAUUUGAGUAAGAGCAUAGCUGUUGGGACCCGAAAGAUGGUGAACUAUGCUUGAAUAGGGUGAAGCCAGAGGAAACUCUGGUGGAGGCUCGCAGCGGUUCUGACGUGCAAAUCGAUCGUCAAAUUUGGGCAUAGGGGCGAAAGACUAAUCGAACUAUCUAGUAGCUGGUUCCUGCCGAAGUUUCCCUCAGGAUAGCAGUAACGUAUUCAGUUUUAUGAGGUAAAGCGAAUGAUUAGAGGCCUGGGGGUUGAAACAACCUUCACCUAUUCUCAAACUUUAAAUAUGUAAGAAGUCCUUGUUACUUGAUUGAACGUGGACAUUUGAAUGUACCGUUACUAGUGGGCCAUUUUUGGUAAGCAGAACUGGCGAUGCGGGAUGAACCGAACGCGGGGUUAAGGUGCCAGAAUAUACGCUCAUCAGACACCACAAAAGGUGUUAGUUCAUCUAGACAGCAGGACGGUGGCCAUGGAAGUCGGAAUCCGCUAAGGAGUGUGUAACAACUCACCUGCCGAAUGAACUAGCCCUGAAAAUGGAUGGCGCUCAAGCGUAUUACCCAUACCCCGCCGCCAGGGCAGAACUUAUGCCCUGGCGAGUAGGCAGGCGUGGAGGUUUGUGACGAAGCCUUGG
rnacentral:rRNA from 1 species